AAUCAGGUUCAUGUGGACCGCAGGCGUGAUGGACUCGACCGAAGACUUCACCGUGGAGUUAUGGCUUUUGACGCUUGGCCCCCUGAUGAAGAUGCAAUCGCUGACGAAGUACAGGAGCCAUAUCCACGGAUGAACAGGGCCUAUGCAGGAGGGAGGAAUAUGGAACCCAUGAGAAAUAGGUUCCCUUGUGGCGUUCGUGACAGGGGCCCCCCCGAUUUCAGAUUGAAAGUAGACCUCCCU
rnacentral:lncRNA from 1 species